GAAGCACACAAAACAGACAGAAAGAUGAGGACCUUAAUUGUGUUGGUGUGGAUGGCUCACGUGUGUUCUUGUAUCUCAGUGCCUGAGACUGACUCAGGACUGGCUCCCAAACCCGGGCCCAGGCCACAACCAACUCCCGCGCAGCCCUUCACAUUCUCUCAGACUCCAGGACAGACCAUCAUCAAGC